UGGUUCUGGCAUCGAUGAAGAACGCAGCGAAAUGCGAUAAGUAAUGUGAAUUGCAGAAUUCAGUGAAUCAUCGAAUCUUUGAACGCACAUUGCGCCCGGUAGUAUUCUACCGGGCAUGCCUGUUCGAGCGUCAUUUCAACCCUCAAGCACUGCUUGGUGUUGGGGCGCUACCUCACGGUAGGCCCCCAAAUUCAUAGGCGAGCUCGCCAGGACCCCGAGCGUAGUAGUAUUCUUCUCGCUUUGGGCGUUCUGGCGGUGCGCUGCCUCUAAGCCUUUCCGGCCGCCCUCACCGGCGCCGGGAAACUCACACAAGGUUGACCUCGGAUCAGGUAGGAAUACGCGCUGA
rnacentral:misc_RNA from 1 species